UAUUCGAUCCUUGUUUUGUCGAGAGAAUGGCGGAUCCGAGUGCUCGAGCAGGAUUGAACCGGACGAGCAGCAGCGGCGAGAAUCGUCUGAAGUACAACUUCGAUGCUGGAUUCUUAUCCAACGCACGCCCGUCCGACACUCCGAACCUCGACGAAGAAGAUUCCAACGAUCCGUCGAGUCUUGAUUCCGAUAGCUGUGACUGGGAAUGUCAGUCGACUCCGUUGGCUGAUCUAUCGGCCAGUCUGCGAGUCUUCUCUGAUUCGAUGCUUAGGAUGGAGCUGGCGGGGAUGGAGAUGGUCAAGGCUAUGGAAGCAUCGCGAUGUGAGGCGGAGAAGCGGAGGAUGGAAUCGGAGGCGGAGUUGACUCGUAUGAUGCUGCGAACUCAGUCCCAGAUCGCUUCGUUUAUUGCGGGAGACAAUAGGAAGAGGAAGCGUGUGGAAGAAGACGAACAACCGAGGGACUCCUCUGUUAGGUACAGGCAAGGAGCUUUGCUGCUGAGUCUGCUGCAGUGCAACUUGAUCUUUUGAAGUUUUGGUAAAAUUCUGCGGUUUUAUUUUUGUAUCAAAUCAAAGUGCAGAUGCAAAUGAAGGUUAAGGGCUGGAACUUUUUGUUUUUCUUUUGUACCAGCUGGUUGGUGGAUCUUUUAUGCCUUGUACAGGUUGUAAGCUGGAAUUCUCUGGGUUAUUACCAGCUGGUUGGGAUUUCAUGUGUAUAGGAGAGUGUUGAUGUGUGAUUUUGAUGUCAGGGGAUAGGCUUGGUUCGGUAUAGCUACCAUAGGAGUGAACUCUGUUCCUAAUUACAUAUGAAUUUUCAAAAAAAUAAAAACAAAAAUGGCAAAGUUAAGCCAAAGCAAUUUCAAAUCUUCAACUUUAUACUUUCAUAAUGCAAUCAGAACAUUGUCUUUCGAAUUAAGACAGAGAG